rnacentral:rRNA from 1 species
CCUACGGGUGGCAGCAGUGGGGAAUAUUGCACAAUGGGGGGAACCUUGCUGCAGCAACGCCGCGUGGGUGAAGAAGUACUCCGGUAUGUAAAGCCCUGUUAGCAGGGAAGAAAAUGACGGUACCUGACCAAGAAGCCCCUGCUAACUACGUGCCAGCAGCCGCGGUAAUACGUAGGGGGCAAGCGUUAUCCGGAUUUACUGGGUGUAAAGGUAGCGUAGACGGCAAGGCAAGGCUGGGGUGAAAGCCCGUGGUCCAACCGCGGGGCUGCUUUGGAAACUGUGUUGCUGGAGUGCAGGAGGGGUAAGCGGAAUGCCAGGUGUAGCGGUGAAAUGCGUAGAUAUUAGGAGGAACACCGGUGGCGAAGGCGGCUUACUGGACUGUAACUGACGUUGAGGCUCGAAAGCGUGGGGAGCAAACAGGAUUAGAUACCCUGGUAGUC